UACGAAGGGAGCUAGCGUUGUUCGGAAUCACUGGGCGUAAAGCGCACGUAGGCGGAUGUGUCAGUCAGGGGUGAAAUCCCGGAGCUCAACUUCAGAACUGCCUUUGAUACAGCACGUCUUGAGUCCGGAAGAGGUGGGUGGAAUUCCUAGUGUAGAGGUGAAAUUCGUAGAUAUUAGGAAGAACACCGGUGGCGAAGGCGGCCCACUGGUCCGGUACUGGACGCUGAGGUGCGAAAGCGUGGGGAGCAAACAGG
rnacentral:rRNA from 1 species